GACGAACGCUGGCGGCGUGCCUAACACAUGCAAGUCGAACGGAGAGGAGCAAGGGUGAGUAAAACGUGGGUGAUCUGACUUGCACUUAGGGAUUAGCUUGGGAAACUGGGACUAAAACCGGAAUGUGCAAGAUGAGCGCGCGGCCUAUCAGCGUGUUGGUGGGGUAAUGGCCUACCAAGGCGUCGACGUGUAGCCGGCCUGAGAGGGUGUACGGCCACAUUGGGACUGAGAUACGGCCCAGACUCCUACGGGCGGCAGCAGGGGUGAAUAUUGCACAAUGGGCGGAAGCCUGAUGUAGCGCCGCUGCGUGGGGGAUGAAGGCCUUCGUGUUGUAAACUCCUUUCGAUAGGGACGCGGUACCUGUAUAAGAAGCACCGGCUAACUACGUGCCAGCAGCCGCGGUAAUAC
rnacentral:rRNA from 1 species